CUGGAGACUUAUUUCGUGAUUCAACAAUUCGAUUGAUGCAUCGACGCCCUCACUAUUAUUAUUCCUCUUCUUCUUCAUCUUACAAAUUCCCUCCAGCUUUAACUUCUCAUCAACAACGCUUUGAUUCUCUUUGACUGUGAUGAUGAUAAGGAUGAACAGGAAUUUAUAUUCCAUCCAAGUUUACGAAAUCCUAACGCCUACGGAGUGGCAUACGCAACUCUAAGAGUGAAAUACCAUAAUAUAUUACUGUAUCAAGUAUGUUUGGAAAGCCACCCUCGCUCUUCUCCACCUACACUAAAGGAGAAUAUACUUCUGCUAGUUUAACAUAUAAAGGUUGCACAGUUAAGUAUAAUAGUAAAAAAUGUACAAUCAUGGAAUGAAUGAAGCUUGACGAAGUGGAACGGAAGCCAAUUAACUGAAAUCCGUGGAGAAAUUCAAAUAGAAACCCCAUUGUCAGUGAGAAUGUUACUCCCGUUGAGUACUGACGGACUGGGGUUGAUGAAGAACAAUAGUCGUGACGACGUGGGGGCCGUU